UACGGAGGGUGCGAGCGUUGUCCGGAAUUACUGGGCGUAAAGGGCGCGUAGGCGGUUAGAUAAGUUGGAUGUGAAAUCCCUGGGCUUAACCUAGGAACUGCAUUUAAAACUGUUUAACUGGAGUGCGGUAGAGGGUAGUGGAAUUUCCGGUGUAGCGGUGAAAUGCGUAGAUAUCGGAAGGAACACCAGUGGCGAAGGCGGCUACCUGGACUGACACUGACGCUGAGGCGCGAGAGCGUGGGGAGCAAACAGG
rnacentral:rRNA from 1 species